AUACGGAGGAUCCGAGCGUUAUCCGGAUUUAUUGGGUUUAAAGGGAGCGUAGGCGGACGCUUAAGUCAGUUGUGAAAGUUUGCGGCUCAACCGUAAAAUUGCAGUUGAUACUGGGUGUCUUGAGUACAGUAGAGGCAGGGGGAGUUCGUGGGGUAGGGGGGAAAUGCUUAGAUAUCACGAAGAACUCCGAUUGCGAAGGCAGCCUGCUGGACUGUAACUGACGCUGAUGCUCGAAAGUGUGGGUAUCAAACAGGAUUAGAUACCCUGGUAGUCCACACAGUAAACGAUGAAUACUCGCUGUUUGCGAUAUACAGUAAGCGGCCAAGCGAAAGCGUUAAGUAUUCCACCUGGGGAGUACGCCGGCAACGGUGAAACUCAAAGGAAUUGACGGGG
rnacentral:rRNA from 1 species